rnacentral:rRNA from 1 species
UACAGAGGUCUCAAGCGUUGUUCGGAUUCAUUGGGCGUAAAGGGUGCGUAGGUGGUGAUGCAAGUCUGGUGUGAAAUCUCGGAGCUCAACUCCGAAAUUGCACCGGAUACUGCGUGACUCGAGGACUGUAGAGGAGAUCGGAAUUCACGGUGUAGCAGUGAAAUGCGUAGAUAUCGUGAGGAAGACCAGUGGCGAAGGCGGAUCUCUGGACAGUUCCUGACGCUGAGGCACGAAGGCCAGGGGAGCAAACGGG